AUUGAACGCUGGCGGCAUGCUUUACACAUGCAAGUCGAACAGUAACAGGCCGCAAGGUGCUGACGAGUGGCGAACGGGUGAGUAAUGUAUCGGAACGUGCCCAGUCGUGGGGGAUAACGCAGCGAAAGCUGUGCUAAUACCGCAUACGAUCUAUGGAUGAAAGCGGGAGACCGUCAGGCCACGCGCGAUUGGAGCGGCCGAUAUCAGAUUAGGUAGUUGGUGGGGUAAAGGCUCACCAAGCCGACGAUCUGUAGCUGGUCUGAGAGGACGACCAGCCACACUGGGACUGAGACACGGCCCAGACUCCUACGGGAGGCAGCAGUGGGGAAUUUUGGACAAUGGGCGCAAGCCUGAUCCAGCAAUGCCGCGUGCAGGACGAAGGCCUUCGGGUUGUAAACUGCUUUUGUACGGAGCGAAACGGCUCUCUCUAAUAAAGGGAGCUAAUGACGGUACCGUAAGAAUAAGCACCGGCUAACUACGUGCCAGCCGCCGCCGUAAUAC
rnacentral:rRNA from 1 species